GCCAGAAUGGUACAGUGGUUUCAGUAUUGGAUGAUGACUCUGCAGACCAGGGUUCAAUUCCCUGAUCAGCCA